GACGAACGCUGGCGGCGUGCUUAACACAUGCAAGUCGAACGGAAAGGCCCUGCUUUUGUGGGGUGCCCGAGUGGCGAACGGGUGAGUAACACGGGAGUAACCUGCCCUUGACUUUGGGAUAACUUCAGGAAACUGGGGCUAAUACCGGAUAGGAGCUCCUGCUGCAUGGUGGGGGUUGGAAAGUUUCGGCGGUGGGGGAUGGACUCGCGGCUUAUGAGCUUGUUGGUUGGGUAGUGGCUUACCAAGGCUUUGACGGGUAGCCGGCCUGAGAGGGUGACCGGCCACAUUGGGACUGAGAUACGGCCCAGAGUGCUACGGGAGGCAGCAGUGGGGAAUAUUGCACAAUGGGCGGAAGCCUGAUGCAGCAGCGCCGCGUGCGGGAUGACGGCCUUCGGGUUGGAAACCGCUUUAGCCUGUGACGAAGCGUGAGUGACGGUAAUGGGUAAAGAAGCACCGGCUAACUACGUG
rnacentral:rRNA from 1 species